rnacentral:rRNA from 1 species
UACGGAGGUGGCAAGCGUUGCUCGGAAUCACUGGGCGUAAAGGGCGCGUAGGCGGGGAGGUAAGUCGGGUGUGAAAUCCCUCGGCCCAACCGAGGAACUGCGCCCGAGACUGCUUCUCUUGAGUCCCGGAGAGGAAGAUGGAAUUCCCGGUGUAGCGGUGAAAUGUGUAGAGAUCGGGAGGAACACCGGUGGCGAAGGCGGUCUUCUGGACGGUGACUGACGCUGAGGCGCGAAAGCCAGGGGAGCGAACGGG